rnacentral:rRNA from 1 species
UACGGGGGGAGCAAGCGUUGUUCGGAUUUACUGGGCGUAAAGGGCGCGUAGGCGGCGUGGUAAGUCAGCUGUGAAAUCUCCGAGCUUAACUCGGAACGGUCAGCUGAUACUGCUGUGCUAGAGUACAGAAGGGGCAAUCGGAAUUCUUGGUGUAGCGGUGAAAUGCGUAGAUAUCAAGAGGAACACCUGAGGUGAAGACGGGUUGCUGGGCUGAUACUGACGCUGAAGCGCGAAAGCUAGGGUAGCAAACGGG